AUUACUAUNUAAGCAAAAUUGUAAGAUUAUGAAUGGCUCAGUAAAGCAGCUGCUGCUUAUGAGAUAAUAUUUCUAGAUGGAUUGCCAUGGCAACCCAAGAACUAAUACAUGUGCAAACCAGAUCUAGCAUGAGAUGGAAUUGUUUCUGUGUUUGGAGCCGCUCAAGCUUGUACUGUGUCUAAGACGAGUUGUGAUAUCUGAGUAAACUGUGCAGUAUCUGCCAAUGGGAAGUCCUUCAAAUUUCUGACCUAUCAGCUAUUGAUGGUAAGGUGUAUGCUUACCAUGGCAAUGACAGGUAACGGCGGAUUCAGGUUUUGUUCCGGAGAGGGAGCCUAAGAAAUGGCUACCACAUCCAAGGAUGGCAGCAGGUGCGCAAAUUACCCAAUCUGGAUGUAGUGAGGUAGUGACAAGAAAUGGCCAUGCAGGGCAUAGUGUCUUGUAAUGGGAAUGAGUUGACCCUUCAUUCUUCUAUGAGCAGCAAUUGGAGGGCAAGUCUGGUGCCAGCAGCCGCGGUAAUUCCAGCUCCAUCAGUGUACAUUAAAAUUGUUGCAGUUGAAAAACUCGUAGUUGGAUUUAUGCCAAGACUAACUGGUCCAUCCUUUGGCUGAGCAUCAGAGGUGGUAACAACAGCAUAUUGAGCAUUGUGGCUGUACUUAGCUGUGUGGCUCUAUGUCCAAGCUUGUUACGUUGAUGAAAUUACUGUGCUUCAAGCAGGCAGAAACCUUGGAUAUACUAGCAUGAAAUAGCACAAUUAUGCCUCAGUUGUGAUGCUGGCCCCUGGACAUAGGUGAUGAUGGACUGGGACACUUGAGGGCAAACAGACUCAACUUCAAGAGGUGAAAUUCUAAGAUUUGUUGAAGAUGCCCUACUGUGAAAGCAUUUGUCAGGACCAUGCCCAUUGAUCAAGAAUGAAAGCUCAGGGCUUGAAGAUGAUUAGAUACCGUCGUAAUCUGAACUGUAAACAAUGCCAGCUAAAGAUUGGAGGUUGUCACUGAGCUGGCGCCUUCAGCACUUUAUGAGAAAUCAAAGUUUCUGGGCUCUGGGGGGAGUAUGGUUGCAAGACUCAAACUUAAAGGAAUUGACGGAAGGGCACCAUCAGAAGUGGAGCCUGCGGCUUAAUUUGACUCAACACGUGAAAAUUCAUCAGGCCCAGACAUGGCAAGGAUUGACGCACUAAUAGCUCNUCUNNNNNNNCAUGGGUGGUGGUGCAUGGCCGUUCUUAGUUGGUGGAGUGGUCUGUCUGGUUAAUUCCGUGAACGAACGAGAUCUCUCCCUGCUAAAUUGUGUUGUACAGCAUUGAUUGUUUGAAGUAUCUCUUAGAGGAACCCUGUACGUCUACUACUUGGAAGCCUGAGGCAAUAACAGGUCUGUGAUGCCCUCAGAUGUGCUGGGCUGCACGCGCGCUACACUGAUGUAUGCAACAAGUGCUUUGUCUUAUCUGAAAUGGUAAGUGAAUUUUCUUCAAAUCUACCAUGGCUGGGAUUAGUAAUUGCAAUUAUUCGCUCUCAACAAGGAACUUCUAGUAGGUACAAGUCAUCAACUUGUGCUGACUAUGUCCCUGCGCUUUGUACACACCGCCCGUCGCUCCUACUGAUAGAGUGCUCUGGUAAAUAAUUUGGCCACAGCAUUGUGCAUAUCUGGCAAUAACUGUAGAAAAUUUGAUGAGCCUUAUCACUUAGAGGAANNA
rnacentral:rRNA from 1 species